ensembl:rRNA 5S_rRNA 5S ribosomal RNA
AUCUAUGGCCAUACGACCCUGAACGCAUCCCGUCUUGUCUAAUCUCAGAAGCUAAGCAGAGUCGGGCCUGGUUAGUACUUGGAUGGGAGACCGCCUGGGAAUACUGGGUGCUGUAGGCU